rnacentral:snRNA from 1 species
UUACUUACCUGGACGGGAUCAAUGGGUGAUCAAGAAGACCUAUGGUCUAGGUCAGUGACCUCCAUUGCACAAAGGAGGGGUGCUGCCUUAAGGUCUCCCCAAGUGGGAGAGCCUGCGUCAUAAUUUAUGGUAGAGGGGGCUGCGCCAAGUCGCGGCCCCUG